GAUGAACGCUAGCGGCAGGCUUAAUACAUGCAAGUCGUGGGGCAGCAGGGGUGUAGCAAUACAUCUGCUGGCGACCGGCAAACGGGUGCGUAACACGUACGCAACCUUCCCGUUACUGUGGCAUAGCCCAGGGAAACUUGGAUUAAUACCACAUAUUAUAUAGAGAGGGCAUCCUUUUUAUAUCAAAGCUUCGGCGGUAACGGAUGGGCGUGCGGUUGAUUAGGUAGUUGGCGGGGUAACGGCCCACCAAGACUACGAUCAAUAGCUGAUGUGAGAGCAUGAUCAGCCACACGGGCACUGAGACACGGGCCCGACUCCUACGGGAGGCAGCAGUAAGGAAUAUUGGGCAAUGGACGAAAGUCUGACCCAGCCAUGCCGCGUGAAGGAUUAAGGUCCUCUGGAUUGUAAACUUCUUUUCUCUGGGGCGAAAACCAGCUAUUCUUAGCUAUUUGACAGUACCAGAGGAAUAAGCACCGGCUAACUCCGUGCCAGCAGCCGCGGUAAGAC
rnacentral:rRNA from 1 species